CUUCUUGGCAUCACCAGUUAAAAGAGAUUGAGAACAAGAACGUUCUUUCAGCGUGCCCACACCCCUGCCUGGCUUAACGGGUUUGAAAUGUGAGGGGAAGCCAAGUAGCCAGCUUGCCUCUGUUACUCAUGGCCCAGUGGGUCGGCUCAUGACCCUCAGGCCAGCCUGUGCCACUUUGGUGACUGGUGGCUACUUUGUGGUCAACUCUUGAAGCAUCAGCACAGCAUGAACAAACCAAAAGUGAAAUUCAGAAAUGGCUGCAGAAGCCAAACUGUUACCCAGCCCCUCUGAAAUCCCCCAAGCACUGGGGGAGCCACAACCAGUUUGGGGGCCAUUAGGAACAUUUUAAUCUAUAAGGCUAUGUGCUAUGGAGGGGUAGGGGAGAGAUGGUUGCAGGAGGCCAUGGGAGGGUUGAGACCCACAGGCCAGAGUCCAGGCCAUAAGACCCUCAUGAUGAGAAUGUUGACAAUAACAAAAUACUACUACUACUACUGCUGCUACUACUACUGCUGCUGCUGCUGCUGCUGCUGCUGCUGCUACUACUGCUACUACUUACGUUUUAACAUUUUUCAGAGCUUUGCUAUUUAUGAUUAUUCUGUCCUAGAUGAUUGCAGCAACAUUAUGAAGUACGUCUCAGGUUGAGUCCCCUAGAAACAGACCCUGAGAUGGAGAUUUGCAUGUAGGGGUUCGUUGGGGAGGGGAUCUUGGGAGUCCCACCUGGGAAGGGUAAGAGAGCAGUGGGGCUUUGAUGCUGCUGCAACAGAGGCCUCCACUGGCCCCUGGGGAGCUUGGAGCUUUGGAAACCUGCAGAGUUGAAGCAAGGGUUCCCCGUGUCCCUUCCAUAGGCUGCUCAUUAGACCAGCGGGGGGUUUGGUGAGGAUGCAGAAGGCGCUCAGCCACCAGUGUGGAAGGGGUACCCUGGCCUUGGAGCAGAAUCUGAAGAGGACACUGAGCACCCACCACACAUGGGCACUCUCAGGAUCUCUGCUACAGAGCAGGUGCUGAGUAGUGAGAUUUGCCCAGGGAAUGAGCCUACCUGGUGGGAUCAUCAUGUGGACCUGGAGGUCCUGACUUACUCAAGACCACUCAGCUACUAAGUGGCCACACUGGGAUUCCAGCUAAAGACUGUUUUAGGUUAGAGCUUCCUGAUCUCAGAAUGGACCCCCUGACCUAAGAAUAGGACCCCCCCCCACCUCAGGAUGGACUCCCCAACAUUAGAAUAAACUCUCUGACCUCAGAAUGAAUUCCUGGGCCUAAGAAUGAACUUUCUGACCUCAGAAUGGAUUCCCUGACCUCAGAAUAGACUCUCUGACCUCAGAAUGGACCCCCUGACCUAAGAAUAAAUCCCCCACCUAAGAAUGAACCUCCAACCUGAGAAUGAACUCCCGAAGCAAUAAUGGAUUCCCUAACCUAAGAAUAGACUCUUCAACCUAAGAAUAAACUUCCUGACCCAAGCAUGAAUCCCCUGACCUAAUAAUAGACUCCCCAACCUAAACAGGAACUUCCUGACCUAGGAAUGAACUGCCUGACCUCAGAAUGAACUUCUUUACUUAAGAAUGAACUUUCUGCCAUCAGAAUGGACCCUUGACCUCAGAAUGAACUCCCCGACCUCAGAAUGAACUCCCUGACCUCAGAAUGGACUCCCUGACCUCAGAAUGGACUCUCUGACCUCAGAAUGAACUCUCUGAACUCAGAAUGAACUCUCUGAACUCAGAAUGAACUCCCUGACCUCAGAAUGGAUUCCCCGACCUAAGAAUGGACUCCCUGACCUAGGAAUGAACUCUCUGACCUCAGAAUGAACUUUCUGAACUCAGAAUGGACUUCCUGACCUCAGAAUGGAUUCCCUGACCUAAGAAUGAACUCCUUGAUCAUUUUGCAGGUGAUGCUCGGGAGCACCAGUAGGGAGUGGGAAAGCAAACAGGGAAGGGAAAGAAGGCCAGCCAGGCACAGUGGCUCAUGCCCAUAAUUCCAGCACUUUGGGAGGCCAAGGUGGGUGGAUCACCUGAGGUCAGGAGUUUGAGACCAGCUUGGCCAACGUGGUGAAACCCCAUCUCUACUAAAAAUACAAAAAUUAGCCAGACGUGGUGGUGCACACCUGUAAUUCCAUCUACUUGGGAGGCUGAGGCAGGAAAAUUGCUGGAAUCUGGGAGGUGGAGGUUGCAGUGAACCAUGAUCAUGCCACUGCACUCCAGCCUGGGCGACAGUGACACUCUAUCUCAAAAAAAAAAAAAAAAAGAAAGAAAGGAGGCACUGGGAAUGCUGAGGGGCUCUGGCAAAUGGUGAUUAUCUAUCCAGAGCCCUUUCUGAAGCAUUGCUCUGCAGACCCGCCAGCCAGGGUUUUCAUUAAGUAGCAUUAAGUCAUAACCUUAAGUAAUAAAGCAAGCAUGCAUAGAAGGGCAAAGCCAGUCACUUCUCAGACCCCGAACCCCUCAGUGAAGGUUGGUGCAUGCAACGGGCUGGCCCUUUGGUGGAGACUGAAGAAAGAGUUUAUUGCAGGUGGGAAUAUUAUUUAAACAGGGAUUGAUGGAGGACAAAAGGGGCUUCUGGUUCCAUGAGGCAGGAGAUAAAUGAGAUGGGAAUCCUGAGUCAUGCAUUUUAUUCACUUCUCUGGAACGAGUUUUGGGGGCUCAUUUAGCAGAGAAAAUAGGACAAGAAAAAUGGACUCAGCUGGCAUUGGACAGAGUCAAAGCCAAAUGACUUCUGGGUUCUAAAUUUUUUUGUUUUGUCUUUAUUCAUACGUGUUGGUUGUUUGGAUUGUUUUUCAUUGACCAUUGUAAGCUAAAUCCAUAUCAGGAGGAUCUGAAAAGCUCAUAAUAAAAAUAUAAAGUAGAGACCAAGGGUUGUAAAAGUGGCAUUUUACUCAAGAUAUAGUAAGGCUGUUUUACAAUAGUGGGUAGUAAUCAAUAAUUUAAAUGAAAACCCUCAAGGGUUAGAUGAUGAUAGAGCUGAUGUUCUUCUUAUUGACCAAGAUGCACCAACCAGUCUUGAAGAGGAUCUCGUUUUGUAAAGGAGCCAUGCAGAAGAAGAAUUCCCAGAGGGAGCCUAAUGUCUGUGAAAUGUCAUAUAUUGCUUACACAGAAACCAGUUACUCAAAGAGCUAUGCUGUUCUUAUGCCCUGUGAUGGAUCUACUGGGGAUAGAGAUAAGAGCCUGUCUGCCUGCCUCAGCCUGUGCACCUGAUCGUUCUUUUCCUGAAGCAACUUGUCAUGCCUUCACAGUGCACACCUGACCAGUUCCAAACCAAAAAGGGAUGUGCCUGGACGUGUGUGGAUAGAUGGCUGAGGGAGACAUUAUUGUUGUUGUUGAGCCUCCAUCAUCUCUCACCUGGACUGGUGCAGUCUUCUCCAAGGUAAAGAUGGCUAAUGGUCUCCCGCAUUCAUCCCCCUUUUUCCUUAGGAACAGAACUCCCGAUUAUUUUGAAGUGGGAGGGCACAUGGUAGCUCAGAAUACAGACCUGCAUUUGCCAGCCUCCCCUGGAGCUCUGGCCAAUAGGAAAUAAACAGAAGUGUCCUAUACGACUUCUAGGAAAUACACUUAAAAGGACAGAAUGGGUUCUUCUUUGACCUUUCCUUACAGCAGCUUGCUGGAAUGCAGGCGUGCUGGCUGGGACUGAACCACCCUCUGGGACUGUGAGGCAGCAAUGUUGGAUGGCGGGGAAGCAGGCUGGAAGAAAAUUUAAGGUCUCCAUUACCAGCCUCAAUCGGCCUAUCUCUAUACUUGGUUUACAUUAGAGAGAGAAGCAACUGUGUUACUGAAGUCAUUGUUAUUUGGGAAUUUUGGCCCCAUGCAGCUGAUCCUAAUUAGCUACAUCUCUGAUAUAGUUUCCUGCCCCUGCCCUUACCCAACCCCCUCAUUUUUUAUUUCCAACAUAGCAACCACAGUGGUUCUUUAGAAACUUGUCAGUCCCCCCCAGCUCAAACCCUCCUUUGGCUUCCCGCUCACUCUGACUAUAAGCCAAAAUCGAAUCAAAGCCAAGUCCCUGCAUGGCAUGCACCUUCCAUCUCCCCACCUCAUCUUCUCCCCCUUGUACCCUUGUUCACACCAAUUCAGCUCCAGUGCCCUGUUUGCUGUUCUCAGAGCAAGCUGUGUUUGCGCCUUUCCCAGGGCUGAGGGUUAGAGGUUAGCUGUUCUUGCAGUGGACGCUGACAGGGCUGGCUUUCUCUUUUCAUCCUAGUUUCUGCUCAAAUGUCACCUCAUCUGAGAGACCUUCCCUGACCCUCCUACCUAAAACAGCUCACACCUUCCCCAUCCCUCUCUAGCUGAGUGCCUUUUUUCUCUACACGUGAUAAGGACAGGAGACAGGGAAAUACUGAGAAGUGGGCGGUUCCCCAGCAAAGAUCCCACCCUCAAGCCUGGAAACCCGUGGCCCUAAAUGGGAACAGCCCUUCCUGUUUUCAAGCCCAAAAGUUGCCUUUUGGCCUGCUGUGCCCCCCUAUCCUGUACUUGUACAAACCCCAGACCCUAGGCUUCAGAAGCAGACGAGGGAACGAGCAGAAGAACAGAAGAACAGCAGAAUGGCAUGGCAGAGAGAAGAAAGGGACCAUCUGAACGCCAAGAGAAAUUCAGCUGGGGGAGGUCAGAGAGGAGAUAGACUGCAGGACAGCCAAGCUCCAGGGGAAGAUCAUCUUCCCACUCCAUCCCCUUUCCAGCUCCCCAUCCAUCCCGCUGAGAGCCACCUCCACCACUCAAUAAAACCCUGCAUUCACCAUCCUCAA